rnacentral:rRNA from 1 species
AGAGUUUGAUCAUGGCUCAGAGCGAACGCUGGCGGCAGGCUUAACACAUGCAAGUCGAGCGGGCGUAGCAAUACGUCAGCGGCAGACGGGUGAGUAACGCGUGGGAACAUACCUUUUGGUUCGGAACAACACAGGGAAACUUGUGCUAAUACCGGAUAAGCCCUUACGGGGAAAGAUUUAUCGCCGAAAGAUUGGCCCGCGUCUGAUUAGCUAGUUGGUGAGGUAACGGCUCACCAAGGCGACGAUCAGUAGCUGGUCUGAGAGGAUGAUCAGCCACAUUGGGACUGAGACACGGCCCAAACUCCUACGGGAGGCAGCAGUGGGGAAUAUUGGACAAUGGGCGCAAGCCUGAUCCAGCCAUGCCGCGUGAGUGAUGAAGGCCCUAGGGUUGUACAGCUCUUUUGUGCGGGAAGAUAAUGACGGUACCGCAAGAAUAAGCCCCGGCUAACUUCGUGCCAGCAGCCGCGGUAAUACGAAGGGGGCUAGCGUUGCUCGGAAUCACUGGGCGUAAAGGGUGCGUAGGCGGGUCUUUAAGUCAGGGGUGAAAUCCUGGAGCUCAACUCCAGAACUGCCUUUGAUACUGAGGAUCUUGAGUACGGGAGAGGUGAGUGGAACUGCGAGUGUAGAGGUGAAAUUCGUAGAUAUUCGCAAGAACACCAGUGGCGAAGGCGGCUCACUGGCCCGUUACUGACGCUGAGGCACGAAAGCGUGGGGAGCAAACAGGAUUAGAUACCCUAGUAGUCC